rnacentral:rRNA from 1 species
UACGUAGGUCCCGAGCGUUGUCCGGAUUUAUUGGGCGUAAAGCGAGCGCAGGUGGUUUAUUAAGUCUGAUGUAAAAGGCAGUGGCUCAACCAUUGUAUGCAUUGGAAACUAUGUUACUAGAGUGCAGGAGAGGUAAGCGGAAUUCCUAGUGUAGCGGUGAAAUGCGUAGAUAUUAGGAGGAACACCAGUGGCGAAGGCGGCUUACUGGACUGUAACUGACGCUGAGGUUCGAAAGCGUGGGUAGCAAACAGG